rnacentral:ncRNA from 1 species
UAACGUUGAGGUCCGUGGCGUUAAUUUUGGUGAAAAUUUAGUUUUACAUGUGAAUAAAUAUAAGAAUAUUUAAGAAUAUUAUCCUUUAAUUUUAAGGAAGAUAUUCUCAGUAAUUAAUAUUAAGCAAUAAAUUAUCUUUUGACUUAAUUUACAUUUUUAGGGAUGGAAAAUAGCGUGCCAGCAGCCGCGGUUAUACGCAUAUCUCAAAUCAAGAAGGAUAAUACAAAAUUACACUUAAUUAUUUAUAAUAGCAACUUAUUUACUUUUACAAGGUAGAAUUUAAAAAUUAAUGAAGAAGCUUGACUUUAAGAAGUAAAAGGAUUUUAAGGACCAGGAUUAGAUACCCUGUUACGGAUUCAAAAAGAAAUUUUGGAAGAUUAUUAUUUUAUAAAUUUAACGGAUUUGGCGGCAAAAUAUCCCAUCUAGAGGAACCUGCCCUAUAAAUGAUACCCCACGAUUUAUUUUACUUUUAUUAGUAAUCAGCUUGUAUAUCGCUGUUGUUAGUCAGUUUUCUUAGGAAACUUUCUUUAAUGAUAUAUUUCAUUGACUUCAAGUAAAGGUGCAGCUUAUGUAAAAGAGAGAGGUGGGUUACAUUUAUUAGAGUAAAAUGAAUUUAAUUAUGUAAAAGGUAAUGAAAAUGGAUUUAGAAGUAAUUUUUUAUAGCUAAUAUGAUAAGAGUAUUAUUUUGUGUACAUACCGCCCGUCGCUCUCCUUUUUAAUGGGGAUAAGUCGUAACAAGGUAAAUAUAAUGGAAAUUGUAUUUGAAGAAAU